rnacentral:rRNA from 1 species
AACGAACGCUGGCGGCAUGCCUAACACAUGCCAGUCGAACGAGACCUUCGGGUCUAGUGGCGCACGGGUGCGUAACGCGUGGGAACCUGCCCUUAGGUUCGGAAUAACUCCCCGAAAGGGGUGCUAAUACCGGAUAAUGUCUUCGGACCAAAGAUUUAUCGCCUUUGGAUGGGCCCGCGUUGGAUUAGCUAGUUGGUAGGGUAAAAGCCUACCAAGGCGACGAUCCAUAGCUGGUCUGAGAGGAUGAUCAGCCACACUGGGACUGAGACACGGCCCAGACUCCUACGGGAGGCAGCAGUGGGGAAUAUUGGACAAUGGGCGAAAGCCUGAUCCAGCAAUGCCGCGUGGGUGAUGAAGGCCUUAGGGUUGUAAAGCUCUUUUACCCGGGAUGAUAAUGACAGUACCGGGAGAAUAAGCUCCGGCUAACCCCGUG